CGGCGUAAAGAGUGGUUAUGGAACUAACAAACUAAAGCCGAAAGCCCCUUAAACUGUCAUACGCACCCAGAGGCCGGAACCCCACCAUACGAAAGUAGCUUUACCAAAGUCCACCAGAAUCCACGACAGCUGGGACACAAACUGGGAUUAGAUACCCCACUAUGCCCAGCCAUAAACCUAGAUGCUUCCAUACAAUUAGCAUCCGCCAGGGAACUACGAGCACUAGCUUAAAACCCAAAGGACUUGGCGGUGCUUCAGACCCCCCUAGAGGAGCCUGUUCUAGAACCGAUAAUCCCCGUUCAACCUCACCACUUCUUGCCCUUUCCGCCUAUAUACCACCGUCGCCAGCUUACCCUGUGAAGGAGAAAAAGUAAGCGAAAUGGAGACCCUCCAAAACGUCAGGUCGAGGUGUAGCAUACGAAGUGGGAAGAAAUGGGCUACAUUGCCUGACACAGGCUAUUUACGGAAAGUCACCUGAAAUAGUCACUCGAAGGUGGAUUUAGCAGUAAAAGGGGAGUAGAGCACCCUUUUGAAGCCGGCUCUGAAGCGCGCACACACCGCCCGUCACUCUCCCCAACAAGCCACUACACAAAGUAAAUAACACCACAGAACAAAAAAGGGGAGGCAAGUCGUAACAUGGUAAGUGUACC
rnacentral:rRNA from 1 species